rnacentral:sRNA from 1 species
CCAGAUACUUCCAUGUGACCCCCUCCCGUCGAGUCUCAGGCUGCGUAUGACUUGUGGGAGGACCACAGUCUGGAGGGGGAGGCUGGCCUGCCUCCUGGCUGGAGGAAGAUCCACGAUGCUGCAGGUACUUACUACUGGCAUGUACCCAGCGGUAGCACCCAGUGGCAGCGCCCAACCUGGGAACUAGGAGAUGCAGAGGACCCAGGCACGGGAACGGAGGGGAUCUGGGGACUGCGGCCCCCCAAAGGGAGAUCCUUCUCCAGCCUGGAGAGUUCACUGGACCGGAGUAACUCUCUGUCCUGGUAUGGUGAGGAAUCCUACAUCCAGAGCAUGGAGCCAGGGGCUAAGUGCUUUGCAGUCCGCUCUCUGGGCUGGGUAGAAGUACCUGAAGAGGACCUGGCACCGGGGAAGAGCAGUAUUGCAGUCAAUAACUGUAUCCAGCAGCUGGCCCAGACCCGCAGCCGGAGCCAGCCUCCAGAUGGUGCCUGGGGUGAGGGCCAGAACAUGCUGAUGAUCCUGAAGAAGGAUGCCAUGAGCCUAGUGAAUCCCGUGGACCACAGUCUGAUCCACUGCCAGCCUCUGGUGCACAUCCGUGUGUGGGGCGUGGGGAGCUCCAAGGGCCGGGACUUCGCUUUUGUGGCAAGUGACAAAGAUAGCUGUAUGCUCAAGUGCCAUGUGUUUCGCUGUGAUGUCCCUGCCAAGGCCAUUGCCAGUGCCCUACAUGGGCUUUGUGCCCAGAUCUUGUCAGAGCGAGUAGGGGUCAGUGGUGAUGCCUCUUGCUGCUCCCCAGACCCCAUCUCUCCUGAAGACCUGCCACGGCAAGUGGAGCUGCUGGAUGCGGUAAGCCAAGCUGCUCAGAAGUACGAGGCACUGUAUAUGGGGACACUGCCAGUCACCAAAGCCAUGGGCAUGGAUGUGCUGAACGAGGCCAUUGGUACCCUCA